rnacentral:rRNA from 2 species
GAGUUUGAUCAUGGCUCAGAACGAACGCUGGCGGCAGGCUUAACACAUGCAAGUCGAGCGCACAGUUUACUGUGAGCGGCAGACGGGUGAGUAACGCGUGGGAAUCUACCUUGAGCUACGGGAUAACAGAGAGAAAUUUCUGCUAAUACCGUAUGUGGCCUUUGGGCGAAAGAUUUAUCGGCUUAAGAUGAGCCCGCGUUGGAUUAGCUGGUUGGUGGGGUAAAGGCCUACCAAGGCGACGAUCCAUAGCUGGUCUGAGAGGAUGAUCAGCCACACUGGGACUGAGACACGGCCCAGACUCCUACGGGAGGCAGCAGUGGGGAAUAUUGGACAAUGGGCGCAAGCCUGAUCCAGCCAUGCCGCGUGAGUGAAGAAGGCCUUAGGGUUGUAAAGCUCUUUCACCGGUGAAGAUAAUGACGGUAGCCGGAGAAGAAGCCCCGGCUAACUUCGUGCCAGCAGCCGCGGUAAUACGAAGGGGGCUAGCGUUGUUCGGAUUUACUGGGCGUAAAGCGCGCGUAGGCGGAUAGAUAAGUCAGAGGUGAAAUCCCGGGGCUCAACCCCGGAAUUGCCUUUGAUACUGUUUAUCUUGAGUGCAGAAGAGGUAAGUGGAAUUCCGAGUGUAGAGGUGAAAUUCGUAGAUAUUCGGAGGAACACCAGUGGCGAAAGCGGCUUACUGGUCUGCAACUGACGCUGAGCGCGAAAGCGUGGGGAGCAACAGG